AUUGAACGCUGGCGGCAGGCCUAACACAUGCAAGUCGAACGAGUGGCGGACGGGUGUGUAAUGUCUGGGAAACUGCUUGACGGAGGGGGAUAACUACUGGAAAAGGUAGCUAUUACAGCAUACCAUCUGAUGUGCCCAGAUGGGUUUAGCUUGUUGGUGGGGUAAGGGCUCACCAAGGCGACGUUCCCUAGCUGGUCUGAGAGGAUGACCAGCCCCACUGGAAUGGAGACACGGUCCGGACUCCUAGGGGAGGCAGCGGUGGAGUAUAGUGCACAAUGGGCGCAAGGCUGAUGCAGCCAAGCCGAGUGUAUGAAAGAGGCCUUCGGGUUGUAGAGUACUUUCAGCGGGGAGGCGUUACCCGCAGAAGAAGCACCGGCUAACUCCGUGCCAGCAGCCGCGGUAAUAC
rnacentral:rRNA from 1 species